rnacentral:rRNA from 1 species
CCUACGGGCGGCAGCAGUGGGGAAUAUUGCACAAUGGGCGAAAGCCUGAUGCAGCAACGCCGCGUGAAGGAAGAAGGGUUUCGGCUCGUAAACUUCUAUCAACAGGGACGAAAGAAAUGACGGUACCUGAAUAAGAAGCCCCGGCUAACUACGGGCCAGCAGCCGCGGUAAUACGUAGGGGGCAAGCGUUAUCCGGAAUUACUGGGUGUAAAGGGUGAGUAGGCGGCAUGGUAAGCCAGAUGUGAAAGCCUUGGGCUUAACCCGAGGAUUGCAUUUGGAACUAUCAAGCUAGAGUACAGGAGAGGAAAGCGGAAUUCCUGGUGUAGCGGUGAAAUGCGUAGAUAUUAGGAAGAACACCAGUGGCGAAGGCGGCUCACUGGACUGCAACUGACACUGAGGCUCGAAAGUGUGGGUAUCAAACAGGAUUAGAUACCCUGGUAGUC